rnacentral:rRNA from 1 species
CCCUAGUAACUGCGAGUGAAGCGGGAAAAGCUCAAAUUUAAAAUCUGGUGGUCUUUGGCCAUCCGAGUUGUAAUUUAGAGAAGCGUCUUCCGCGCUGGACCGUGCACAAGUCUCCUGGAAUGGAGCGUCAUAGAGGGUGAGAAUCCCGUCUUUGGCACGGACACACCAGGGCUUUUGUGAUGCGCUCUCGAAGAGUCGAGUUGUUUGGGAAUGCAGCUCAAAAUGGGUGGUGAACUCCAUCUAAAGCUAAAUAUUGGCGAGAGACCGAUAGCGAACAAGUACCGUGAGGGAAAGAUGAAAAGCACUUUGGAAAGAGAGUGAAACAGUACGUGAAAUUGUUGAAAGGGAAACGCUUGAAGUCAGUCGCGUCGACCGAGACUCAGCCUCGCCUUGGCUUGGUGUACUUCUCGGCUGACGGGUCAGCAUCAAUUUUGCCCCUUGGAUAAUGGUGAGGGAAAUGUGACACCUUUACGGUGUGUUAUAGUCCCUCGUCGCAUGCAAGGGUUGGGAUUGAGGAACUCAGCACGCGCCUUCGGGUGUCGGGGCUUUUUGCCCACGAUACGUGCUUAGGAUGUUGGCGUAAUGGCUUUAAACGACCCGUCUUGAAACACGGACCAAGGAGUCUAACAUGCCUGCGAGUGUUCGGGUGGAAAACCCGUGCGCGCAAUGAAAGUGAAAGUUGGGACCUCUGUCGUGGAGGGCACCGACGCCCGGACCAGACCUUCUGUGACGGCUCUGCGGUAAAGCAUGUAUGUUAGGACCCGAAAGAUGGUGAACUAUGCCUGAAUAGGGUGAAGCCAGAGGAAACUCUGGUGGAGGCUCGUAGCGAUUCUGACGUGCAAAUCGAUCGUCAAAUUUGGGUAUAGGGGCGAAAGACUAAUCGAACAUCUAGU